GACGAACGCUGGCGGCGUGCUUAACACAUGCAAGUCGAACGGAAAGGCCCUGCUUUUGUGGGGUGCUCGAGUGGCGAACGGGUGAGUAACAUGUGAGUAACCUGCCCUUGACUUUGGGAUAACUUCAGGAAACUGGGGCUAAUACCGGAUAGGAGCUCCUGCUGCAUGGUGGGGGUUGGAACGUUUCGGCGGUUGGGGAUGGACUCGCGGCUUAUCAGCUUGUUGGUGGGGUAGUGGCUUACCAAGGCAUUGACGGGUAGCCGGCCUGGGAGGGUGACCGGCCACAUUGGGACUGCGAUACGGCCCAGACUCCUACGGGAGGCAGCAGUGGGGAAUAUUGCACAAUGGGCGGAAGCCUGAUGAAGCAACGCCGCGUGCGGGAUGACGGCCUUCGGGUUGUAAACCGCUUUCGCCUGUGACGAAGCGUGAGUGACGGUAAUGGGUAAAGAAGCACCGGCUAACUACGUG
rnacentral:rRNA from 1 species